GGGGGCAAAUUGUGUUAUCGCUGCUAACGAUGAUUUGAACUCUGUUUAGUGUUCGGUUCUCU
rnacentral:tRNA from 1 species